rnacentral:lncRNA from 1 species
AGCAAGAGUUUGCGCAGGGCAGUUGAUCGGAUCAUAUUUAUAUAUAUUUUUACUUCGAAUUCACUCAUCUUUUCUUAGUUAGUUCCUUAUAUUUUUGAGCUAUUUACGUUAUUUUUGUGUUUAUAGGAUUUGUUAUGCAAAGAAAAUAAAAAUAGAAUAAGUGAAAUUUUAUUCGUGAAAAGCAAAUUUAAAUUACAAUAUUGCUAAACCAUUGUGACGCUAAAUGAUAAACCAAUAUUUAAACUUUAUAUUUCAUCAUUUUAUAUUUCUUUUCUUGUCUAAUUUAUUUGAAAGCUUUAAGUAUUUAUGAUACUUUUGAUAUAUUGUGUUUGUAGGAGUAACAUGAUCCAAAGAACUUAUUUUUCUGCUAUGUGGGGCUGCUAGAAACUAAAUGAAAAUAAAAGGAGAGCAUCGGGAGGAGAAUAUAGAGGAAAGCAAGCUGCCUUUGCAGCUGGAGGAAAGCAGGUCAGCGACAAAGGGAUCCAAGGAAGUCAGAAGAAUUAGGGGACAGCAACUGGCAAAGCAGAGAAAAUGGAGGAGUCCACACGGGGGACGGAAAAAGAAUCCAAAGAAGGGGAAAAAGACUGACAGCUCGCAGAAGAAGGGGGGCCUCGGUGAGAAAGGAUAAGAAGACGCAGGAGAAGAGAGAAAAACGAGGGCGGUCUUGGGGGGGAAUUAAGGAAAAGGGGGAGCUGCCCUUUGGGCAGCUCGAGAAGGGAGUCAGCGUGAGGGCAGAAGAACAGAGGCAGGGGAGAGACUGACGCGAGAGGACAGGGAAGACUAAGUGUGCGAAAAAAAAAAUAAGAAAUAAGAAGAUAGAAGCAGAGAGACUGACGAGAGAGGCAGUGUGCAGAAAACAGAGAGGACAGACCGAGGGCAGAAGCAGCAAGCACUCUCCUCUCUCUCGGUUAAAUCUUUCUAAAUCUAUAUUUUAUUUCUGUUUUAAUAAUGUGUAAUUAAAUUUUAUUUUGGCUAGAGGUUAAUUCAAAAACAUGAAUAUAUUUGUAAUAUGAAUUGAUUACCUUCGGUUGUGAUUUCAUAAGUUGUGAUUUCAAUUUACUUAUCCGUUCGUAUAAAAACUGAUUUGUGUAUGUUGGUUGAGAGUGCACGCUUAAUUUACAUGCAUGAAUUUGAUGCUAGAAUAUAAGUGAAUUUCACCUAAUCGUUAUGAACUUAUUUUCACAAGUAGUAAAGGUUGCUAGUCACAAUCACGUUAAGUAAAUUCUUGGCAAGAGUAUCAUGCUUUUCAUAGUUACGAAUGCCUCGUCAAUGCUUAUAGUUUUCACAAAGUUUAAUGAUCUUUGAUUUUAUCUCUAUUGUGCUUUUCACGUAGGGGACUUUUGAAGAAUGUUUUGAAUUGUUGUAUGCGUUUUCCCGUCCAAUUCAAUAACUUAAGGAAAACUUGAAGAUUAAAAAAGUGCUAUUCACGGUUAAUUUGGAGUAUUGAGAUUCACAAUUUAUUAAAUGAACAACUGGAAAUCAUUUUGUAUGCAAGUAUAACAUGUGUGGAGAAGAACCCUCUAGCUAGUCUGUCAUUUAUCAUUUUACCUUAAUUUUAUGUUUUUGUCAAUUCUGUAAUUUAAUUAAGUUUAAUUUACUUUUCAUCAAAACCAAACACCCAUCCAUUAUUAAAUUAUAUUAUUUAGUUAGUUUUCUUUAUUGUUAGUCUUUUAAUUCAAUUUCCGUCCAUUGCAGUUCCUAGUGUCUAAUUUGAUUGUUUUCAUUAUUUUGAGUUAUCCUAAGUGUGUUUCGAGUUAUUAGAGUUUUUAGCCUAGUUUUGUGUCCUUGAGUCUUGUUUAAUAUUUUU